AUUGAACGCUGGCGGCAGGCCUAACACAUGCAAGUCGAGCGGAUGAAGGGAGCUUGCUCCUGGAUUCAGCGGCGGACGGGUGAGUAAUGCCUAGGAAUCUGCCUGGUAGUGGGGGAUAACGUCCGGAAACGGGCGCUAAUACCGCAUACGUCCUGAGGGAGAAAGUGGGGGAUCUUCGGACCUCACGCUAUCAGAUGAGCCUAGGUCGGAUUAGCUAGUUGGUGGGGUAAAGGCCUACCAAGGCGACGAUCCGUAACUGGUCUGAGAGGAUGAUCAGUCAAAGUGGAACGGAACACCGGCCCAGACCCCUAGGGGGGGAGGCAGGGGGGAUUUUUGAAGAAGGGGGGAAGGCUGGACCCCCCCUUGCGGGGGGUGGAAAGAGGGUUUUCUAUUUUAAAGCUAUUUUAAGUUGGGAGAAAGGACAAAAAUUUACUCCCUUUUUUUUUGCGCUUCCCAAAAAAAAUAGGCCCCGGCAAGUUUCGUC
rnacentral:rRNA from 1 species